rnacentral:rRNA from 1 species
UACGGAGGGGACUAGCGUUGUUCGGAAUUACUGGGCGUAAAGCGCGCGCAGGCGGUUUUCCAAGUCAGUGGUGAAAGCCCGGAGCUCAACUCCGGAAAUGCCAUUGAAACUGUAAAACUUGAGGACGAGAGAGGUGAGUGGAAUUCCCAGUGUAGAGGUGAAAUUCGUAGAUAUUGGGAAGAACACCGGUGGCGAAGGCGGCUCACUGGCUCGUUUCUGACGCUCAGGCGCGAUAGCGUGGGGAUCAAACAGG